GAUGAAGAAGCAGCGAAAUGCGAUAAGUAAUGCGAAUUGCAGAAUUUCCGUGAGUCAUCGAAUCUUUGAACGCACAUUGCGCCCGCCAGUAUUCUGGCGGGCAUGCCUGUUCGAGCGUCAUUACAACCCUCAGGCCCCCGGGCCUGGCGUUGGGGAUCGGCGGAGCCCCCCGUGGGCACACGCCGUCCCCCAAAUGCAGUGGCGGUCCCGCCGCAGCUUCCAUCGCGUAGUAGCUAACACCUCGCGACUGGAGAGCGGCGCGGCCACGCCGUAAAACACCCAACUCUUCUGAAGUUGACCUCGAAUCAGGUAGGAAUACCCGCUGAACUUAAGCAUAUCAAUAAGCGGAGGA
rnacentral:misc_RNA from 1 species